GACGAACGCUGGCGGCGUGCCUAACACAUGCAAGUCAACUUGACUGAAGGAGCAAUCUGACAGUAGAGUGGCGCAAGGGUGCGUAACGCGUAAGUAACUUGCCCCAAGGUAAGGAAUAACGUCGAGAAAUCGGCGCUAAUACCUCAUAAUGCAGCGGAUCCGCAUGGAUAUGUUGUUAAAGGUUUACCGCCUUGGGAUAGGCUUGCGUCUGAUUAGCUAGUUGGUGUGGUAACGGCACACCAAGGCUACGAUCAGUAACUGGUCUGAGAGGAUAAUCAGUCACACUGGAGCUGAGACACGGUCCAGACUCCUACGGGAGGCAGCAGUGAGGAAUAUUGGGCAAUGCUCGAAAGAGUGACCCAGCAACGCCGCGUGGAGGAUGAAGGUAUUCUAUAUCGUAAACUCUUGUGAGAGCAGACGAAAGACAGAUUAUAAUCUGGAUGACUGUAUGCUCAGAGGAAGCCCCGGCUAACUAC
rnacentral:rRNA from 1 species